CCAAUAGCGUAUAUUAAAGUUGUUGCAGUUAAAAAGCUCGUAGUUGAAUUUCGGGGUUAGCAGGUUGGUCAUGCCUCUGGUAUGUACUGGUCUCACUGAUUCCUCCUUCCUGAUGAACCGUAAUGCCAUUAAUUUGGUGUUGCGGGGAAUUUGGACUGUUACUUUGAAAAAAUUAGAGUGUUUAAAGCAAGCUAACGCUUGAAUACAUUAGCAUGGAAUAAUGAAAUAGGACGUUCGAUCCUAUUUUGUUGGUUUCUAGGAUUGACGUAAUGAUUAAUAGGGAUAGUUGGGGGCAUUAGUAUUCAAUUGUCAGAGGUGAAAUUCUUGGAUUUAUUGAAGACUAACUACUGCGAAAGCAUUUGCCAAGGAUGUUUUCAUUAAUCAAGAACGAAAGUUAGGGGAGCGAAGACGAUCAGAGACAGUAGUAGUCUUAACCAUAAACUAUGCCGACUAGGAAUCAGAUGAUGUUAAUUUUUUAAUGACUCGUUUGGCACCUUACG
rnacentral:rRNA from 1 species